AGAGUUUGAUCCUGGCUCAGAUUGAACGCUGGCGGAAUGCUUUACACAUGCAAGUCGAACGGCAGCACGGGAGCUUGCUCCUGGUGGCGAGUGGCGAACGGGUGAGUAACAUAUCGGAACAUAUCCUAUCGUGGGGGAUAACUAGUCGAAAGACUAGCUAAUACCGCAUACGUCCUGAGGGAGAAAGCGGGGGCUCGCAAGACCUCGCGCGAUUGGAGUGGCCGAUAUCUGAUUAGCUAGAUGGUGAGGUAAAAGCUCACCAUGGCGACGAUCAGUAGCUGGUCUGAGAGGAUGAUCAGCCACACUGGGACUGAGACACGGCCCAGACUCCUACGGGAGGCAGCAGUGGGGAAUUUUGGACAAUGGGCGAAAGCCUGAUCCAGCCAUUCCGCGUGAGUGAAGAAGGCCUUCGGGUUGUAAAGCUCUUUCGGCAGGAACGAAA
rnacentral:rRNA from 1 species